rnacentral:tRNA from 1 species
GCCCGGUUAACUCAGUCGGUAGAGCAUCAGACUUUUAAUCUGAGGGUCAGGGGUUCGAGUCCCUCAUCGGGCG